rnacentral:rRNA from 1 species
GUGGGGAAUAUUGGACAAUGGGCGCAAGCCUGAUCCAGCCAUGCCGCGUGAGUGAUGAAGGCCUUAGGGUUGUAAAGCUCUUUCGCCGGUGAAGAUAAUGACGGUAACCGGAGAAGAAGCCCCGGCUAACUUCGUGCCAGCAGCCGCGGUAAUACGAAGGGGGCUAGCGUUGCUCGGAAUUACUGGGCGUAAAGCGCACGUAGGCGGUUUCUUAAGUCGGGGGUGAAAUCCUGGAGCUCAACUCCAGAACUGCCUUCGAUACUGGGAAACUUGAGUUCGGGAGAGGUGAGUGGAACUGCGAGUGUAGAGGUGAAAUUCGUAGAUAUUCGCAAGAACACCAGUGGCGAAGGCGGCUCACUGGCCCGAUACUGACGCUGAGGUGCGAAAGCGUGGGGAGCAAACA